rnacentral:rRNA from 1 species
UGCCCAGACUCCUACGGGAGGCAGCAGUGGGGAAUAUUGCACAAUGGGGGAAACCCUGAUGCAGCAACGCCGCGUGAGCGAAGAAGUCUUUCGGUAUGUAAAGCUCUAUCAGCAGGGAAGAAAUUGACGGUACCUGAGUAAGAAGCUCCGGCUAAAUACGUGCCAGCAGCCGCAGUAAUACGUAGGGGGCAAGCGUUAUCCGGAUUUACUGGGUGUAAAGGGGGCGCAGACGGCGAUGCAAGCCAGGAGUGAAAGCCCGGGGCCCAACCCCGGGACUGCUCUUGGAACUGCGUGGCUGGAGUGCAGGAGGGGCAGGCGGAAUUCCUGGUGUAGCGGUGAAAUGCGUAGAUAUUAGGAGGAACACCAGUGGCGAAGGCGGCCUGCUGGACGAUGACUGACGCUGAGGCUCGAAAGCGUGGGGAGCAAACAGGAUUAGAUACCCUAGUA